GCUCCUGAAUAAUCAGUGAUUGACAGCUGAGUUGAAUAAUGAGCCACAUAAUGAGCCUUGUGGGAAUGUUCAACAGUAGUAAAACCAUGAAAAGGUUUACUUGGUAAUUUAUAACAAAAAAAUGUAAUAGAAUGUGAACACACACACACACAUUUCUAUUGAAAUAUUUUCUAUUAUAUUUCUGAACAAUAUUUAUGAGAAAUAGGCCUUUUGUGUACAUACAAAAAGUAUAUGUUUUUCUAUACAUGUCUACUUUGUUUCUUUUUAGCUUCCAGACUGUAGCAGUCAGAAAUGUCAUCUGCGUUUGUCCCGCGUUUGCCCACUGAGCAAAAACACGUCCAAAAGAAGUAAUCAUAAUGUCAUUGUCUACACUCUAAAAACCGUUGGGUAACAGACAAUGCUUUUUUGUUUGAAGUGUAGUAAAAAACGUUUUUAACUUUUGUAAGGGAUGCAACCGGCUGUUUUUGGCUCCAAAUAUUUUUUUAGCCGGUCUGUGUUAUAGAAACAGAGCUGUAAUAUAAAUGUGCUUCUGAAUGGAAAUGUCUUAAAAAAUGACUCGAUGCUAUUUUAUUGUCGUCUUACUGUCACCUGAUAAAGUGCUAUUUUAAUCCUGCACGUCUACUACUGUUUACUGUAACCCCGGUAACGGUUGAAUUUGCUCUUCAGCGACAUCUACUGUCAAAGUAGAGUAUUUAUUCAGCGUGCCAGAUGUGUUUGCUUUGAGAUUUAAUUCAUUAUUCUUUUCAUUAAAUGUAGACAUUCAUGGAGAUGUUGCAUUAAAAACCCUACAAAAUGACCAGCAAGAUGGUUAAGCCUUCCUACAGUACCAAGAGCCAAAGCAAACAUUUAUUAAUUUUCAACCUGUCAGAAAACAAACAUAAUUCAGUAUUUGGAGGAGGAGGUAUGACGAAGACCCCAUGUCCUGCUAUGGGAUGAAUUAGACUAAUCACAAGCCUUUGUUAUCAAGGGGAGGCAUGGCCCAGGAGCAAGACCAGCAGUUGACACGUGCUUUAAUAUUUUUUACAUUUUAUACAGAAUAUCCCAAGCCUUUCACUACUGUUAAGUAGUUUCUGUAACAUACAAUACAUUUUGUACCAGGUGAUGUUUCCUGAACACACUGUCACCUGCUUAAAGGGACAGUUCCCCCAAAAAUGAAAAUUGUCAUAAUUUUCUUCCUCUCCUGUCGUUACAAACCAGUACACAUUUUUUUGUUCUGAUGACCACAAAGGAAGAUAUUUUGAGUAAUGUUUGAAACCAAACAGAUCAUGAGCCCCAUUGACUGUCAUAGUAGGAAAAAAGAAUACUAUGAAAAUGAAUGGGGCUCAUGAUCGGUUUGAUUUCAAACAUUCUUUGAAAUAUACCUUUGUGGUUAUCAAAAUAAAGACUUAUAUACAGGUUUAUAACAACAUGAGAGAAUGAAAAUGAUGACAAAAUGUGUGAACUAUGCUUUUAAGCAGUUUUUAGUUGGAUAAGAUGGAGUACAUUUGUUCUUUUCUUAUGUUUUUGUUUAUUUAUGUAUGUAUAUAUGUAUGUGUGUAUGUGUUUAUGCUUCUAUACAUGUAUGUAUUUAUACAUUUAAAUGCAGGUGCAAAUGACUAAAUGAAAAUAAAGCAUUAGAAAUGUA